rnacentral:rRNA from 1 species
UGGUGGAGUGAUCUGUCUGGUUAAUUCCGAUAACGAACGAGACCUUGACUUACUAAAUAGUAUUGGCAACCUUCUAAUAUGGGGGAUGGGGAAGGUUCUCUUUCGGGGGAGCUGACCUCGGAACUCUGAUGAGUUGCUAUUCUUCUUUUAUUACUUCUUAGAAGGACAGUUCGUAUCUAGCGAAAGGAAGUACAAGGCAAUAACA